GUCCCUAUCUGCCGUGGGCGCUGGAGAAUUGAGGGGGGCUGCUCCUAGUACGAGAGGACCGGAGUGGACGCAUCACUGGUGUUCGGGUUGUCAUGCCAAUGGCACUGCCCGGUAGCUAAAUGCGGAAGAGAUAAGUGCUGAAAGCAUCUAAGCACGAAACUUGCCCCGAGAUGAGUUCUCCCUGACCCUUUAAGGGUCCUGAAGGAACGUUGAAGACGACGACGUUGAUAGGUCGGGUGUGUAAGCGCAGCGAUGCGUUGAGCUAACCGAUACUAAUGAACCGUGAGGCUUAACCUUACAACGCCGAAGCUGUU
rnacentral:rRNA from 2 species